CCCUUUGUGACUAUUAUACCUGUUGCCUCGGCGGCGCCCCUUGUGGGUGCCCGCCGGUCUACUAGAAUCUCUGUUUUCGAACCCGACGAUACUUCUGAGUGUUCUUAGCGAACUGUCAAAACUUUUAACAACGGAUCUCUUGGCUCCAGCAUCGAUGAAGAACGCAGCGAAACGCGAUAUGUAAUGUGAAUUGCAGAAUUCAGUGAAUCAUCGAAUCUUUGAACGCACAUGGCGCCUUCCAGUAUCCUGGGAGGCAUGCCUGUCCGAGCGUCGUUUCAACCCUCGAGCCCUCGUGGCCCGGCGUUGGGGAUCUGCCACGGCAGGCCCCGAAAUACAGUGGCGGACCCGUUAGGCCCUUCCUUUGCGUAGUAGCAUUAGCCUCGCAUUGGGAGCCGACGGGCUCUCCUGCCUCUAAACUCCCCAACAAGCCCGCUCCGGCGGCACCAAGGUUGACCUCGGAUCAGGUAGGAAUACCCGCUGAACUUAAGCAUA
rnacentral:sRNA from 2 species